CGAAAGGCCUUGAGGCAAUGGCGGCUUUCCGAAUCGUGUCAGGUCCGGAAGGAAGCAGCACUAAGGUAGGUUCUCCAUGUGCCUUAAGUUUUUAAGUC
rfam:Lactobacillus saniviri JCM 17471 = DSM 24301 NODE_6, whole genome shotgun sequence.